AAAUUAUACUUCAAGAACAUAAACAUUUGGUCUGAUGUAUCAAUUAAAAUGAUCUAAUGACAUCUGUUGCAGAUAGGAAGGUAUUUUAAUCCUAUGUACAGAAAAAAAAAAGUACAGCUGUCUCCUUGUACUUGAAAUAUAUAAAACCAACACUACUAUUUACACACUUAAAAAAUUUAAAUUUAUUUAAGUAAGCAUAGUGCACGUCCUUAAUGGAAAAAAGCAUGUUAUAGGGAGCUGAGAAGCCUGAUGAGAUUGUUAAACUAUAUAUAUGUUAUCUGAAGAAGCAUAUCUGCUUUUUGUCUUAUUUUUGGUU